AUCGGUUGCAUGUAGACAAUAGUAUAGAAUUCAUCGGGAAGUUGUUGUUCAGUUCUAAGCAAGGGUCAGAAGUGCUGAAAACUGUUCGCCCUGCAGGCCAGCCUUUAGUGGAUGAUUGGUCCUGCCUCAAAUCGAUGGUGAGGACUUUUGAAGCACACUGUGGAUCUCUAUCUCAGUAUGGGAUGAAACAUCUGCAAUGCCGGUAUCAGCAAGGAGAUGAUGGCUGAGGUGUCUGCUGAAGCUUCCAUUAGCAUUCCUGCCGGUCAGUGGAGUUCUCUCCAGAAGGGAUUCAGUGCCUGAGGUGACAAUGAAAGACGGCUAGUAGUAUGUUACUCAUUGUGCAUAGUAUAUAAUGAAGUUGCUUGGAUAUCUUCUCCUGCAAUGUGAAUAUAUUGCUGAAGGGCUGGAGAAAUUUGCAUCCGUUUGUGUCACUUAGUCCAUGGAUUAUUGUAGAAAAUUCGUGCCUGAUACUUGAGGCUAUGGCUGAGCUCAUGAGUGGCUCUUUGUUAGAAGUCUGUGUUAUCGUUGGGCAUCCAUAAUGAGCUAUUAUGCAAUUAAACUGC